rnacentral:rRNA from 1 species
GUUUCCUACGGGGGGCAGCAGUGGGGAAUAUUGCACAAUGGAGGGAACUCUGAUGCAGCGACGCCGCGUGAGUGAAGAAGUAAUUCGUUAUGUAAAGCUCUAUCAGCAGGGAAGAAAGUGACGGUACCUGAAAAAGAAGCUCCGGCUAAAUACGUGCCAGCAGCCGCGGUAAUACGUAUGGAGCAAGCGUUAUCCGGAUUUACUGGGUGUAAAGGGAGCGUAGACGGAGGAGCAAGUCUGAUGUGAAAAUCCGGGGCCCAACCCCGGAACUGCAUUGGAAACUGUUUAUCUAGAGUGUCGGAGAG